ACAUGGGCCUUCUUUAGCCAAAAAUAUUUGCUUAUAAAAACUCGAGGAUGUUAGAUAUUUCUAUCACACUGGCUUAGCAUUUGAAAAUUCUGCUGGCUCAAGUGCAACUGUGCUGUCUUAUUUGGGACUGGGAUUCCCUCCCUAACUACAGUUGAUUUCUGAUUGGAGGCUUGUAACUUUGAGGACAAGAACAGAGUCGACUUAGCUAGCUGGAAGAACAAGAAGACUUUUACUCUCAUGAAGAGAAGGAAGUGCUGUUGUUACAGCAGGUUUGGGAAGAGUGGAGUCAACGUUGACAGUUGCUGACUUGAGCAGUUUUGUUGUCAGUAAUAAAAGCAGAGACUGGGGAUCCCUGGGUGGCGCAGCGGUUUGGCGCCUGCCUUUGGCCCAGGGUGCGAUCCUGGAGACCUGGGAUCAAAUCCCACAUCGGGCUCCCGGUGCAUGGAGCCUGCUUCUCCCUCUGUCUAUGUCUCUGCCUCUCUCUCUCUCUCUCUGUGACUAUCAUAAAUAAAUAAAAAUUAAAAAAAAAAUUAAAAGCAGAGACUGCUUGCUGAAAGCGGAGGCAAGAAAAGGAGAAAUUGCUUUGGCAAAGUUAAAAACAAGAGGAGAUGGUGGUCUUGGUGUGGCAGAGAAUGUUCAAAAAUAUUUCCUUGUUCUUAAAGAGUUGCUGCUGCAUGAGUAAUAUGCCACUUCACUACAUAGCCCUUCUAUGCAGAAAUGCUGUAUUUCCACUUUACAAACCAAGGGAUGCAUUUUAUUUUACAUUUAGAGGAGAAACAGACAAUCGAAGGCAAAAGUGGUGCAGCAUCUUAUGCAGCUCUCUUGGAAAGGCUUCUUUUUUUUUUUUCCCUGCCGCUCAGACUGCACACAAAUACUGGGAAUAUAUUUUAAUUUCAAAUCUGACGUGUGACAUCUGGUAACCCAUUUAUUGCUAAUGAAGUUUUCACAGGAAGCAGCAGUCACCAGGAUCUCAUUGUAUUUUUCAGUUGGCAAAGUGCUGUUACCUUUUAUUGGCCCAGCAUUCAUGCCGCUUAUCACAGGCUGUUUAGUUAGAAAAUACAAGUAGUCCCACAUAGAAGCGAAUGGAAUGGUAAAUAAUAGCAAGAUAGAAGGGUCUAAACUUUUUGUUACAAUCAGUGGUGUGGUUUCAUUGUAAUUCAUAUUUUAAAAUUAUGUAGGUAUUCGAGAGAAUGGUCAGAGCUGGAGAACCGUCCAGUCCAAGCAGCUUGUCAGCAGUGCCACCUGCCUCCCUCUCUGACCCUCUCUGCCUCUUUUUUGGUACAUUAGCUUCUUCCACUUCCAGCACCCAGUGCAGCUUCCCAAUUCUCCUUAUCCAGAUUUGCUUGUAGGGGGGAAAUUAGUCAUUUAUACCGUCGUAUACAUUUAAUAACACUAACAAAAGUCUCAAAUUUUCAGGAUCUUAUGACAGCUCCAUAUACACAAUCUCAUGAGGUUCCCAACAAUGUUGUGACACU
rnacentral:lncRNA from 1 species